CCAUCCUACCGAUCCUCGACUUCGGCGAUGUCAUUUACAAAAUAGCCUCCAAUACCCUACUCAAUAGGCCUAGUCCCACCUGAUUGCCCAGUCACUUUAACCCCUACCUACAUGUAAAUAUUACCUCAACUACCUCGUACCCCUGCACAUUGACUCAGUACUGGUACUCCUUGUAUAUAGACUUGUUAUUUUGUCACCAUUUCCUUUUAUAUUUAGCAAAUGUAGGUUACUUUAACUCUGCAUUGUCGGGAAGGGGCUUGUCAGUAAGCAUUUCACAGUAGUCUACACCAACAAAAAAAAAUCUUGAUUUGACAGCAUGAUCAUGUACAAGAUCAUAGUCUUACGAUCUACUAUUCUGCUCUCCCCUACUGGCUAUGGAAGUCUCCACAGGACAGGCUCAGCUACUAGAGCUUAUGAAAGCAGUGGACGGCACCAUGGAGGAGUUCACCCUUGACACUUUUUACAAGGGUUUGGUUGACUCCCAUGAGGAUGGAGCCUUCCUGUUGAGACUGGACUGUCAAGAGUUGCAACGUUAGUGUGGGAACAAGACCUUUUCCUUUCCGCUACACUGACAACCAGUUCUCAUUCAUUCUGUGGUCAACUGUAAUGUUGUGAAACCUGACAAAUGCUCAUAAUUAUGAGACAGUCAAAAGUGUCUAUAUUUUUGUAAAAUAAGUGGGUUGUACCUCCUGAAGUCAAACAACUUCCUUAAAAGAUGGCAACAUCUUCAAGUGUGAGGUUUGUUUUGAUAAAACACUUAUGUAUGCAACAGAGGCGGCUAGUGGAAGGAGCUUUAGGACAGGCUCAUCGUAAUGGCUGGAAUAUAAUUAAUGAAACUAUUAAACCUAUGGAAACCACAUACUGUGUUCCAUUCCAGCCAUUACAAUGAGCUGUCCUGCUAUAGCUCCUCCCACCAGCCCCCUCUGGUAUGCAAGCAUUGCUCCUUCAGGUAAUGUAUGACAAGACCUGAGAAGAGUAUUUCAAUUUAUCUUCAAUCAUUAUUAACCAAGUUAAAAGCAACAUGACCUACAGAAUGAAAUAGUAGUUGUCAACUAAAGCUUUUGUUUGAUUAYGCUUUACAGGCCUAAAACCAUUUUUAAAGUGUGACUUGUGAACUAGAAGGAUAGAAUUCAUUAAUGAACCUUUUUGAUUAAAGAGGAUAGAAUAAUCCUGAACUAACACUCCAGACGACAGGACCCAAUGACUUAUGGCGCAAUCACUCGUGGCUUUCUGAUUAAGAGUUCAGAAACCCUGAUUAAGUGUUGCAGGUUCAUAUGGUAGGUCCUGUUUGAUCCGUGAAAGUACUGAAGUAGAUGUGUUAAGACGUCUGAGGGGAAGAGGUAGUCUCUUUCGCCAGACAAUGGGCGCGCUUGCACACACGCUCCACGGAGGAUGUGAGAAGAYACUAGGGAAGAGGAACCUCUGAGGCUGAUGAAACAGUUCCAAUUUCCACUCCCUCUUACUUUAACAGAGCUCCCACAGAAGGCCAGCUUAAUGCAAUGUUCAACAUUACAUUUGACUUAAUCAUCACAGAGCAGCACACAAACAGAUCAUGAUAGUUCCAGCAAUAACAUAUUGGUCAAGCCCAACCAUAGAGCAAUGGCACAGUUACAAUCAAGCUGAUUGGACAGCAUCUUCCUGUGCUGUCCCAGUAAACAAUCUAGCCUUGACAAAAGGCCCUGAAUUUAUGCAUUAAUCACAGCACAAUACUGGACAUACUGCUACUUCUGAGGAUCACAUAUUAAACAGUUAACAUUCUCAUAACCUGGUUUGAUUUAGAUUGGAAGUGUUAAAAAAAAGAAAAAAAGAAUAGCUGACAUGUUUCUGUAACAAAAUUACAGGCAUUACCGUCAUUUAUUUUCUUAUGUUACACAUACAGAAUAUGAACCGGUAUACUAUACAUACGGUGACCUACAGAACAAAACAAAAUGUAACACUUUGUAACAGCAGAAAA